GUAGUAGAGAACUUAGCGCUGUUUGUUCUAAUAGAGACGAAGAUGCUUAUAUCUCCAGCUACCAGCGCUGGAUAAAGAGAGAGAGAGAGGGAGGGGUUGUGUGCGUAAGUGUAGGUAAUGCGUGACUUUCCUUUUUCAGAACCUAACAUUCAAACCUAAUGGAACAAUCUUCAGAUAACCUAAUUGCAUUAUUUCUCGCUUGUAAACGUUUUUUUUUUUUUUUUUUUUUUAUUCUUGGACGUUGUUACUGAAGAGGUGAUGGAACACGGCAACCGCAUCUGAGAAUAGACAUUCUUUUUGUAAACGGAGGACCUGAUCGAUGAAUUUGUUUUUCACACGCACUCAGUUCUCGCGUCAUGUUUAGCCUGUUGUUGGGUGUUUAUGAAGAAAUUAAGAAAAAUGAUUCACAGCGCAUUUUUCUUCUGUCUGUGUCUUUUGCUAUCGACUGGUGUGUUUGGUGAUACAGAUGUUAUAGUGUCAGUGAUGGAGGGAAAUUCUGUCGCUCUACACACUGAUGUUAAAAUGCAGCAAGAUGAUCACACACUGUGGAUGUUUGGACCUCAAGAGACUCGUAUAGCUGAGAUCCACAGACAGAACAUCUAUAUAGAUGCCACUAAUACAACAUUUGAGAAAAGACUCCAGAUGGACAGACAAACUGGAUCUCUGAUCAUCAGAAACAUCAGAACUGAACACUCUGGACUUUAUAAACUACAGAUCAUCAGCAACAGAGGAACUUCAUACAAGAGAUUCAAUGUUACUGUCUAUGCUCCUCUGCCUGUUCCUGUCAUCACCAGAGACUCUUCACAAUGUUCUUCAUCUGAAAUAUCAUCAGGUCAGAAUUGUUCACUGCUGUGUUCAGUGUUGAAUGUGGGUUAUGUGACUCUCUCCUGGUUCAAAAGAAACAGUUUAUUGUCCAGCAUCAGUGUGUCUGAUCUCAGCAUCAGUCUCUCUCUUCCUCUGGAGGUGGAAUAUCAGGAUAACAACACCUACAGCUGUGUGAUCAACAAUCCCAUCAGAAACCAGACCACACAUCUCAACAACACUGAUCUCUGUCAGCCAUGCUCAGAACGGGAUGAGCGUUCACGUCUCAACAUUUCAAUAGCUGUUACAGCACUGCUGCUGGUGUUCAUAGCUGUAGUUGCAGGUUUGAUGUACUGCCACAGAAAGCGUAAACAAUCGGAAAAAGAAGUUGAGGCUCAAGAGGAAGAGAUACUUUACGCUGAUACAACAUUCUGUGCAUAUCGGGUUGAGAGUACGGAUGUCGUUGCAGCAGAUCAAACAGAAUAUUCAACUGUUAAGACAUGAAAGACCCCUGGAUGAAAGAAGAAAGCCGUCGUGUUUACAACUGUGACAAUGAGCGUUUAUCAGGAUCAACGAAACACUGAAUUUUCAAAAUUUCACUUCUGCUCAAGCUGACUUCUGAAACCUGCCGUGACAGUACCGUGGGAUUUGCAUAAACCCAGAUGAUUAAUGCAGUAACUAUAUAUAACACCAAGAAGAUCUAUAACAAUGAUGAAAGGACAUAACGACAACAAUGUGACCUUAAAUGCCAUUCAGACAAAACAACUCUUUGUGAUUGUAAUGGAAACUGAUGGGUGUUGUCACAUAACAAUGUAGCAUUCAGAAAACCGCCAUGAAAGAAUGUGCCAUGAGAAGGUAGUUUUUGUAAUUCUAGAAGAUGUUGUUGUGAGAGCCAUCAGUUUGUGAGAUUCACAAUAAGACUCAGUACUAAUUCAUAUAUUUUAAUAAUAAUAGAUAAUUUUUGUCACCAUGUACACAGCAUAGUUUAGCACUUCAUUUUACAUAUUUGAUAUUUAAACUAAUUCAGGGGUGUCCAAUGCUGCUCCUGGAGGGCCACCGUCCUGCAAAGUUUAGCUCCAACCAGCUCCAACACAGUUGCCUGAAAAUUUUUAGUAAAUCUGAAAAUCUUUAUUAGCUGGACAGUGGCCCUUCGGGAACAGGUUUGUUUGGACACACCUGAACUAAUGCAGCCCCCUACAGUACACAGAGUGUAACUGUCCCAGAUUGACAGCUGUGUGUGCUGUUAUAUGAAUAUUGAUGUUAGAUCUUUUGUGAAAAGUAUCCACUGCAACAUCUUUUUUUUCCCAACUCUCACCAUCAGUGAUGAGCCACAUAAGGGACUAAUAACACAGAGAAACUAAAGUUUAUCUUUGAAAAAAAGGUCUUCCUAUUUUGUCCAAUGAGUGACAAUAAAAGCAAGAUUUAUGUUUAUUUAGUUUCUAACUCCUCUGAACAUAUUUGGCUUUAUAGUCAUGUAAAAGCAUCAUUUAAAAGCAAACAAGCUUUGUAACACGCACAAGAAUCAUUUCUCAAUCCCAUCACCUUCUUUCUCACUGAAAAAAUAAAAUACAUACAUACCAAAAACAUAUCAAAUUCACAAACAAUGUUAAGUAUUAAUUUUUAAAAGGAUUAAGGAUUUUAUAUCAUGUAAUAUUCAGUAUUUCAUUUUUAGAGUGGUCCAAUGACCGUGGAAAUAGGAAGUUAUAAGAAUCUGAAAUAUAUGACACUUUUUAGGACGUUCUUCUCAUGAGUAUAGAUAACCUGCACAAGUACAUAACAGCCAUCACAGUGGAUAAGCACAACAUUAAAAGGUGGAAACAAAAAAGACACAGAGAGAGAAACAAAUAUAUUUCCCAAAUGCAAAUGUAUGGUUGUGAUUUGUAACUUGUUUAAAAAAGCAACCACAUCUGGCCACUGAGGGGCGCAAUGCGCUAUUAUACUAUGACAAGCACAUCUGUGUCAGCUGACAUAACCAUAGAGGAAAUUAUGAAACUGAAAAAAAUAAAUAAAAAGGAAGCAAUUACAUCAUGCAUUUCUACAUUCAUCAUCAAAUACUGGCUACUGGAUUAGAGUCAGCAAUAUGGAUACAUUCAGAACUGUGGGUAUGAAGAUAUCAGGAAACCUGCAACAACAUUUCAACGUUUUAUACCAGCACCAGCAGUAAUCACUUUUUUUAAAAUACAAAUAACUUGGGCUGAGCCAGAAUUUUAUUUAUUUAUUUUUAUUUUUUUUGAUACAGGUAGCUGUUUUACCAUUUGCAAAAAUUCUCACCGUUUAUUGCUUUCAAUGUUUUGCAUGAGAAAUAUUUCCACCUUGCAGGAAUUAUAAACAAAAACAGACAGCAUGUAUAUUUUUUCUUAUGAUUCUGGAAUAAAUUUAAUGGGUUACUUCUUAAACUCUUAAAUUCAUAAACUAUUGAAUUAUAAGAUUAACUGAUUGCAGUUCAAAGAUUCAGAGUGCCAAAUUUGUGAAACAAGAAUAUAGUUCAAAUCUGGAAUACAGUCUAAAAACCAAUUGUAUUAUAAAUGGUGAAGACAAUGUUUUUCAGGCUGGUUCAUUAUUUAAAAUCUACCAUUUGGAAAGUUUGAGUUAGAACAGUUUUCAAAAGUGAAAUUAUAAACACAUUGAGGCUGUGAAAGUGACUAGUGAGAAGACUUUAAAUGUUUAGUGUAAUUAAUUGUAAUGUUCCUGAUAACCUCUCUGUAGUCCCAAUUUAGACGAUUGCUAGCAACCACCUCAAGACAAGUGAAAGCUUUAAGAAAUCAACUUGGAUAUUAAGGCAUUUAUGUCAUACACUAAAAAACA